UUGUUUUUCAGAAUAGACACUUUCUUUUAAAAUCAAGUAUAAAAUAAAAAUAUAUUAACAAACUGAAAGGUGGUCAAAACAAAUUCACUUUUUAAUAUUAUGAUAAAAAAACUAUAAGAUAAAAUGUAAAAAUGUUACAGAGGGAAAUUUACAUUGCCAAAGAGAAAAAAAUUUUCUAGUACAAUAAAUGUUGUGGACAGUAGCAGUUAUAUAAUCUUAUCUUAAUUGACAUGAAAUCAAAAAUCAUAAAUAGGUGUCAGUUAAUAUGUUCAUAAAGCUUACAUUUAUUAUCGACUCAGUAGUCUAUGCGUAGGCUUAAAUAAUUUGGAAUGCAUCUGUUUAAAAUUAUGUCAUUUUAUAGAUCUGUAAUAGAAAGCAUCCUAACAUUAUCUAUAAUCGUGUGGUACGGGGACGCUACCGAAAACGACAUAUAUGACCUUAAUAGAAAUGUCAGGACUGCAACGCUCAUUAUUAGUUUGGUACAAGUGCCUCUGGAAACCAUUUCUGUGAUCGGCCUCUUAAAAAGGCAGAGGCUAUUAAGGACGACCAAACUCAUCCAGCCUGAAGUCUAUUCCAAUUGAUGCGCAGUUUUUGAUCAUUAAAGGCCAGAAAGGCCAGAUUAAAAAUAGCUUCUACCCUCAAGUUAUUAGGGCUCUAAAUAUUAGGUAAUGUUAGUUUUGUACAUUGUAUCUUUGUAAGUGUUUGUUCUGCCUUUUAGCUGUGUUUUAUGCACAGAGCAAAGCAAAUUUCUGUGUUCUGAGCAAUGACAGUAAAUAUGAUUGAGAUAGAGAUCUCUAUAGGUUUGAAAAAAAACUUUCAUAAUUUGUCACUCAUAUAUUCUAUAUCUAUAGACAUUCUGAUCUUUGUGUUAAGAUGAGCAAUUGUAUUGAUUUAUUUUUUUUAUUGUUUCAAGUGCUGUAUCUUAAUGACAAAAUUACCAAUAUUAUAAUCUUUGUUUUAUUCUGUUUCAAAUUCAUUUUUAUAACAUAAUUGUUUAAGUAAGAUACCAUAAUUUUUUCUGCUAUUGAAAUGAGGAUUAACAUAAAUGAAUAAGUAAAUAAAUAUUUUCAUAAUCUUUCACAGUGGUGGAUUCAAGGGGGGUGGGGGAUGCUGUCACCCAAUUUUUUUCAUGGAGAUAAUGGAAUGACUGGAGAAAUUGAGAUAACAAUUUUAAGUCUCAGAGUGCCAUUUCUGGCCAUCUAAAGGUGCCAUUUCUGGCCAUCUAACGCUGCCAUUUCUGGCCAUCUAAAGGUGCCAUAAUCAUAUUUUUUUUUUACUUCAGCCCAAACCAUGAUGGGUUUAGUCCCUCUAUCUGUGAAAGUAUUCUCCCCCCAGCCCCAGCCCCUCCAUUUUAAAUUCCUUGAUCCGCCACUGUUUUACUUUUAUAAUACAUAUUCAUUCAUCAUUUAAUUUCAGAAUUUCAUUUCUAUAUAUAUCAAAACAUAUAAAUAACUUAAGUAAACUUGCAUAGAAAAUUACCUACACUCAUACUUGUGAAAUGGUACAUAAAAAUCUAAGAAAAAGAUGAUUAUAUUUUGGGAACAAAAAAGUCAAAAGGACAAGGUCAAGGUUACAGAACUACAGAACUAUUGUAACCAAUUUAUUAUUAUUAGUCAUUGUAUGCCAGAGAGUAGAUACUGCAGUGGUUGCGAUUUGGCUUCUGAACUUAAGGACAAUUGGCUGAACCCCUCGCUGUCUGUUUUGCUUGUGUUCUUUGACCAGGAACUUUCCAAUGCAUCCAAUUUAAACUUUGACUUACUGUAUAAGGCGCAUAUUACAAACUGUCAGUGUGCCAAUUAGAGGGAGUGCUCUGAAAAAAACAAAAACAAAAGGAACAAAGGGAGAAAACAGUAUACAACAAGAAAAAGCAGAUAACCAAAAACAGAAGUGAAAGACAGAAAGAAAACGAUAUUGAACUGAAAAGGUGACUUUUAAGUCUUAUUUUGAAAAUCUCUGCAGCAGGAGAUACACGAACAGAUUGUAGCAAACCAUUUCAAAGUUUUGGAGCAUCAAUUCGAUAAGCUCUCUCACUUACUGUCUUCGUGCGACUAGAGGGAACAGAAAGAAUGGAUGCAGAGGUAGUUGAUCUGCGAGCGCAAAGUUGAAAGUUUGGAAAUAUAAAAAGGAGAUAGGUAACCAGUGAAGGCGUUUUAAUGUGGGAGUGAUAUGUUUAUAUUAUUUUGAAACAGCGUACAGCCAAGUUUUAAAGUAGUAGACUCUUCGCCCACGUACACAGUAGAUAGCUGAUGGGUUUGAACACCAAUGCACUGAAUAACUGUAAUAUUCAAUGAUUCUCUACUUGGAGUUGAGCAUGUGGGUCAUAUUGUGAAGGACACGGAUGCCUUGACUAACGCAUUAUAUAAAACCUGUAUAUUUUUAUUAUUAUUAGAAGUCUACAUAUGAAGGAUGUCUAGGCAUACAGUUUGCUGCAGAACCUCCAGUCAGCAAACUACUUUACAAUCCAUUAAGCUGCAGCACCGCUGCAUGCGACCGUUGUAUGACGAAUCCAACUUUGACCCCUGUGAGCGCUAGACGAUGUGACGCCGUCUGCUGAUUGUCGGUGGCAGUCUGAAUGGAUCGUCAUAAAAACGAUCCAUUGUGCACUCGUAGUUGCGUUACGUUCUGCAUAGAAUCGUGUCGGCCGACGACCAUCGAGCACAUGGAGUGCCUGACAUUACUGUAUUGAAACAUCUUAAUUUUUGUUUUUGUUCAUAAUCUGACCUAUUAUUCAUUAUAUUGAAUAUGCUUCUUCUCAUUUACUUCUCUUAUAAAGAAAAAGUACAGCAUGGAAUUAUGAGGCAAUGGUAGGGCUUAGGAAAUUGAAUGUGAGGAUACCUUUCUUUAAUCAUGUGACCUGUCAUUUGACCAAUCAUGUGAGGUAUUAUAUCAUCAACUUGCAGGCUUGGAAUCCAAAGGGAAGAGUGGCAAUAACGAUUCAGUUUACUCAGCAUUUUCUGAUGUACGUACAUGCAAGGACAUGUGUAAGCACGUAAAGAGUAUUAUGUACGUGUACAUGGACACUGUGUACAAAGACGUCAAGUAUGAACAGUCAAGGACAUCCUGCAUGCAAUCAGUCAAUGUGGUAUAUUUAUGUUUUAGGCGAGACUUUUGUAUCUUGUUGAGCGAACCCGUUGACCGCCAGUAAUGAUGAUUUCGAAUAAGUGAUGAUUUCGAAUAAGUGGCCAGUUAACACACCCGCCGUCACAAAAAAUAGAAAAUUUUUUUUUAUUAUGCCCGCCGCUGCCUUGAAAUCACCAAAAAUAAGAUACUGUAUGAUUAUUUCUUCCUAAUUACUGUAUAUAAAUUUAAAGCAUUUAUCUAUCCCAUUCUGUUUACAUUCAGCAAUAAAAUUUUAUUUUUAUUUUCUCCUCCAUCUGGAUGUUUUUGGCAAAGCUGUUUGCUAAAUACAAAUAAAACAAAGUAUUAUUUUAAUUUAUUUUCCCCCCUCCUCUGACUAUCUUUGAAAAAAUUUAUUUUGUGAAACAAGGUAUGAAAAAGUCUUGCCGUAUAAAAAUUUUGGUAACCUAAAACCGCAAGUAUGAAUAAAAUAAAUACAAAAUUAACAUCAAAAUUGAGGGCAGUGCUGGAGAGCAGUAAAGAUAGAAUAAACCAUUUUUUUCAUGCUCACAAGUUCACAUAACAAUUUAUCUGGACUUAAUGUGGCUUCAUAAAUUGGCAUUUUCGUUUAUACUAUUAUAGCAGUAAAACUCAUAAUAUUAAAAUUUAUGAUCUGCAGAACUAUUUUGAUUUGUUUUGUAAAAAUAAAUAUUUUCUAUGGUUUUAAUUAGUCCAAGUUUUGAAGUGUGUUGCAAAGUUUUUUGGCAUUUUUUUUGGUUGUUUAAAAAUAAUAUAAUUUUUUUAUUAUGGUAUAAUAAUAAUAAUAAUAAUAAUAAUAAUAAUAAUAAUAAUAAUAAUAUAUUUUCAGUUAACCAAUGUUCUUUUUAGACUUGUGCAAAGUAUAUAGGAACAGUGUUAUUUAUGUAUAUUUAAUUGGCAUGAACAUUUUUUUGUUUCUAAUUUUCAGUUGACAAAUGCUAAAUAGUUUUAAUACAUAUACAAAUCAAACAAUUUAAAUAUUUAAUGAUAUUGUUCAAGUAUAUCUAAAACUUUGGUUUACUGGGAAUAAAAUGAAUUAAGUCAUUUUAAAAAAAAAGAAAUAUAAAUAAUAACUUCUAUGAUCAGGUAUAUGACUAAUUUUUAGGUAAUUCUUCCUUGUAAAUAUAGAUAAUUAUGUGGAACCAUAAUUAUUAAAUUGCUUAAUGAAUAUUUAGUUAUAGGGAUUCUUAUUUAUGAACACUGACAGAUUGUUAUAUCUUUUUUAUGAUCAACUGCGGUUUGAAUGUAAGCGUUAAUUACUCACUAUAUUUUAUUGUAAUUAUUUAUACUGCUGUUAUAUUUGUUUGUUUUCUAUGCAUGUUUUUACUAAGCAAACACUUCAGUCUGGUAUAAUAUUGGAAGGAUUUCAGUUCCUCCGACUGACGCCAGUCUCAUCCCGAAGGCAGUCUUCUAGCAUCCAAAAAUAUGCUGAGUCCGACUGAUGACAGAACUCCUUGACUGAUAUCCUUAGCAUGUCCUGGAUCACACUGAAGCAGAUUGCUUGUUUUUAUCCAUGGGUCUAAAUAAUUUUCUUGUUGAUAACUGACAUUUAGUGGUUGAAUGUUAACAGUGUAGGUGUUAUUACAUGAUGAACAUAGCUCAGAUAGCCUUUAUCUCAAAGACCUAAAAAAAAAACCAGUAGGCCUCCUAGAAUAGUUUAAAAAAAAUUAAACCUAAAGUAUGAAAAAAAAUA